AACUUUCGACAAUGGAUCACUUGGCUCUCGCAUCGAUGAAGAACCCAGCGAAAUGCGAUAAGUAAUGUGAAUUGCAGAUUUUCAGUGAAUCAUCGAAUCUUUGAACGCACCUUGCGCCCCUUGGUCUUCCGACGGGCAUGCCUGUUUGAGUGUCAUUAAAUUCUCAACUCCAAUCGAUCUGUUUCGAUCCUGGAGCUUGGACUUGGAGCGACCUGGCGUAUAGUCAGCUCCUCUCAAAUGCAUGGGCUGAAUUAAACCUUUGAUAGCCUGAUGUCAGUGUGAUAACCAGGGUUACGCUGUCGUCAAGGGUCGGAGUCCGCUUACAAUCGUCCACGUGACAAAAACACCUUAUCAAAGUUGACCUCAAAUCAGGUACGACUACCCGCUGAUCUAUAGCAUAACGAUAAGCGCAGGGU
rnacentral:misc_RNA from 1 species